UUGGCAGCUAAGGCUCCCAGGAAGCGCAGUGGGAGAGGCCAAGCCUCCUCCUCUGACCACACAACCUCUACUGGCCCCUGGGACUCUGCCAUGCACAGGAAGGGGCGGUGUGCAGCCUGACUCAUGGAAGCCCUGGAGUUGAAAGAGGGGGGUGGGGGAAGGGGGGCCGGAACAGAGCUGGUGAGCCGGAAGCCCUGGGGAGGAUUUACACUCAGACUGGAGCUGAAAUGUGCAGGCUUGGAGGGGCUUCUACCUGCCAAAAAGGAACAUUUUUUACUUUUGUUUACUUUGGCCCAAGUAGGGCCGCUGGGCUGUUUGCUGUAGAGAGACCGGUUCCUGGGCGUUGGGGAUCACACCUUUGGGAGUAGGACUGCUGGUGGCCUUCGGGGUUCUAAUAAAUUUGGGCCCAAGGGCUGUUUGCCACUGAUCUGACUCCCAGGAGUCUCAUCUCCUCAGCCACUGAGGGGCCUUCCCUGCCUUCCCCAUCUCCCAGUGUGGUUCUUAAGAGUCCAGGUCAGAAGUCGGCCAGGCCGGCCCCAGUGUAGGUGGCCAUCCGCAGAGAAGUUGACCCAGCAUCUGCUGACAGAGCCAGAGGGGCCCUCCUCCCCGAGGGUGGCAGCCUCAGCUGAGAAGGUAGCCCCUUGAGGCAAAAAUCACCAAGGAAACUGACUCCGGGGUCUGGGCAGAGGGGCUGCUGCCAGUCCUUCGCCCAGGUCCUAUGCUCUUGUGAGCAGCCUUCAGAGGGUGUCUGUGUGUCAAAGCCAGCUCUUUUUUCUCUUAAUUCUAUCACAUGAGUUGGGGAACUACUGGUGUGAAACAGAAAGUGACCUGAAGAAACGGUUUCACACUCGGGUCUGUGCCCAAGCAGAAAGGCAGCGCUGGGGGCUGGGGUUCAGCCCUUUCCAGCCAGCACAGUGCCAGGCACAGGUACCUUGUGUUGACUAGAUUGAUCUUCACUGUCAAGGAGACAAGUCCUAUAAACCCAGGAGCCCCUUCUUGGAGGGGUUGGAGGCCUCCUGGAGAAGUGUGCCCUGGACACCUUCAGGCAGCUCUUGUCUCUUCCAGCCCACCCCUCCUCCCCCCACCCUUCACCUCAAGGGCUCCUUAGGUCGUGGCAUUGUCUGACAGAGGACUUAGGAAGGGUCCCUUUAGCUGGGGCAGCUAGGGAGUGACAGUCUGCCAGUACCCGGUUCCUGCAGGAGGAGAGGGUUCCACAUGCCCACCCACUGCCCUGGGAGUUCUGUUCCUGGUGUUAAUUAACCAACUUUCCGUUCUGAAUGGAGGCAGCAGUGGCUACAGAACUGCCUGAGACAGAGCUGGAGCAGGUCCCUUCUACAGUGGGCCUCCGUGUGAGCGGUAGGAAGCAGACCAUCCAGGUUAAGGCUUCUUCAGGUGGGCUUGCUCCAAAGAAAGGAGAGGCGGAUAUUCUGCCUCAAAUCCUCCACACCCCUCCUUCCCGCUGAACCUCAGUGACCCUGGUGGGGAGAGAACAAACCCGGAUAUCCUUGGAAACUCCUUCCCUUCAUCUUAAGCAGCUUAGCAAGAAGCUGGCUCAGCUGCUCAGAGCCAGGAGUUUGCUUCUUGGAUAAACAAACUGACCAGCCACUGAGCUCCAGGGCCCCUUUCUAACAAGGACCUACGUGUUACCUAAUCGCAGGUUCCUAUUCUCUCCCAGGUGUAGAAUGACAGCUGACUCCUGUGGGAAGAUGAGCAAGGUUUCUGCUACUCUACUUGUGGGUUUUCCAGUGAGUCUUCCAUUACAUUUAUGCCACAUAGCACCAGCAGGGUGCAUGUCUGUGCCCCCUUUGCAUGACUAACAUUAGUGUUCUGAGAUUCUGGUCCGGUAGGUCGGGGUGGGAAUCAGGAAUCUGAAUCCUAACAGUCCCCCUGGACAAUUCUGGUGUCUGUGGUGAGAAGGCGGUGGGGACCCUGGAGGAGGAAGGAUAGGAUGUCUGUCAUGCAGCAGGGAGACCCGGACCUGGUGACUGAAGGUCUGGAAAAGGAAUAAACAGAGCCCAAAUGAGAAGACACUGCAUUGCCACAUUCAUUCCCAGGCUAAAAAGACCCAGGAGUAGGUGGGCCUGUCUCUGUUGAGACAUUGUGAUGGAUAACAAGCAUCUGGAAGCAUUUGUGUCUCAGGUGGUUUGGGGCAGCUGACAGGUUUGGGGGUGGGCUGUUUGAGCCAUCCACACUCACUUGUCCUCUGACUAGAAGGGUUGAACAAGCGACGAGGCAGGAGAAGGGCAGGACUGCCAUGUGGAACCUCACUGGGACCCAGCUACAGGCCAGGCCAAACCUGAGCUCAUAUUGAGAUGAGGCUUGAGUUCCUGCAGGAGUUGGGCAGGCCCCCACCAGGUGACUUCUAGCAGAGUUGGGGCAAGGGAGGCCUCUUGGAGAAGUGGGUGGGACUGUGGCACGCAAAACAUGCCCAUUCAUCUCCACCCCUGAGUCUUUGCCUAGGCUGGCCUUUUUGGGGUACUCCCCCCAUUCUCUCUAUCCACAACUUCAACCAUCUGAAGCCCAGCUCAGGCACCCUACCCCUUCCUCCCCACCCCCCACCAUGAAUCUCUGCUCCCUCCACUGAGGCCACCCAGCCUUAGACAGCCCUGACUCCUGGAGCUGUCACCUACUUGGUGCGGUCAUCCACCUGCCACCACCCCCCCCAACAUACACAAACUGGGCUGUGAGCUCCCCGCCCCUGCUCCUUGGUGCCUGGAGCAGGGAUGCUGGCACUAAGGUACCACUGCAGGGGCUUUCUAUCUCCAGAUGGAGCUGCUCAUGGUCUCCAGACUCUGUCCUCUGCCUCCUCACCAUCCCUACCUGCAUGUCUAAGAGGCGCCAAGACCAAGCCACCCUCUGCCAGCAUCAACGAGAUAAAGGCAAAGAUUUUAUCUUAUUUUCCUCAUCACUGACUCCCCAGGACCCAGAACAGUGCCUGGCAUCCAGUGGGUGCUCACGAGUAGCUGUAGAGAAGCACAAAGGCCGUUCCUGACCUCCAAGACCUGCAACCUGGACAAAACUGGCAUGAAAUGCCAAGAGCUUAGCAGCUCCAGCCUCUGAGCUCAGACAGCAGAGGGCGUGGCACUGAAAUACCAACACCCCAUGCGCUAAGCAUGGCCUGUCUGUCCAGGGCACUGUCAUUGCCUGAACCAACUGCUCCUGGGCCAGCAUCCAGCCCCAGGCUUGCAUCAGUAAAAAGGGUAGAAUCAAGAUCUUCUUCACAGCUCCUAAUGAGAAUUAUGAACUAAUAACUGGAAAGCACUCAAAGCUGUUCCUCAGAACCCUCAGCAAAUAACUGUAAUUAUUGUCAAGCACUUCUGUAGGUCCUGGAAAUGUGAACAUGAACAAGAUAGCAAGAUCUCUGCCAUCAAAGAGCUUAUAUUGCAGUCGGGGGAUGGAAAAUAGAAAAUAAUCAUGUAUACAAAUAAGUUCGACUAGAAGAAAUGGUAUGAAAAAAAUAAAGCGCAGGGCCUGGGAUGAAUUAAGGGUCAUCUUGGAAGGCUUCUGCAGUGACAUCAGAGAUCUGCAUGAAGGGGGAGGCCAGUGUGGGGAAAAUCUCACAGGCAGAACAGCAAGUGCGAAGGCUCUGAGGCAGGAAUGAGCUUGGCAGAAAGCCGCAGAAAGCUGGUGGCUGGAGCACGGGAAGAGCGCAGGGUGGAGAGUAAGGCCCAGAUGUGGUCCGUAGUCUGAACGUUAACAGCUCGGCUGCAAUCUUUGCUGCACAAUCCCCUCCCUGCCUUACGGGUCUAGGGAGGCCUUAGCUGCUGGGGCCUGGGAAGGUAAUGCAGCCCAACAUCCUGGCUUCAGGCCCCCAGGCUUGCACUGCCCUUUCCAGAGCCCCAGAGAAGGCGUUUCACACCCGCCAAGUGGAGUGGGCAAGUCUUCAAGGACCACCCACACUGGCACUGCAUGACUCUUGUGGCCUUCAUCAAGGUGGCUGGGUCACUUCCAGGGAUGCUGUCAUCUCUCAACUGUGUCCUCCUGCACCCCGCCCCUGGGGCUUAGGCAGCUGCUUCCUUGGACAAAGCAGAAGGCACUGUUGGGGGUGGAUGGGGGAAGCAGCAUUUCUAAUUGUAGAUUAUUUCCUAUCUUGAAAAGAAUCUAUAGUCACCAAAUGAAGUGAAGCACAGAGCAAGGAUUAAAGAUGGCAGCUGUGCUCAGGAAGGGA